GGUGGCUCAGUGGUAGAGUGCUUGCCUUGCAUGCAUGAGGCUCUGGGUUUGAUCCCCCAGCACCA
rnacentral:tRNA from 1 species